UACGUAGGGUGCGAGCGUUGUCCGGAAUUAUUGGGCGUAAAGAGCUUGUAGGCGGUUUGUCGCGUCUGCUGUGAAAAUCCGGGGCUCAACCCCGGACUUGCAGUGGGUACGGGCAGACUAGAGUGUGGUAGGGGAGACUGGAAUUCCUGGUGUAGCGGUGGAAUGCGCAGAUAUCAGGAGGAACACCGAUGGCGAAGGCAGGUCUCUGGGCCACUACUGACGCUGAGAGGCGAAAGCAUGGGGAGCGAACAGG
rnacentral:rRNA from 1 species